rnacentral:rRNA from 1 species
AGUGAACGCUGGCGGCGUGCCUAAUACAUGCAAGUCGAACGAAGUGGCGCACGGGUGAGUAAUAUAUAGUUAAUCUGCCCUACACAGGGGAACAACAGUUGGAAGCGGCGGUUAAUACCUCCUAGUGUAGGAUGAGACUUUAUCGUAUCAGCUAGUUGGUAAGGUAAUGGCUUACCAAGGGUAUGACGCUGCACUGGUCUGAGAGGAUGAUCAGUCACCUUGGAACUGAGGCACGAUCCGGAAUCCUACGGGAGGGAGCAGUAGGGAAAUGUGGGCAAUGGGGGUGAGCCAGGCGGGGCAUCGCCGCGUGGAGGAUGACACGUGUCGAAGCGUAAGCUCAGUUUAUCAGGAAAGCGGUACCUGAUGAAUAAGCACCGGCUAACUCCGUGCCAGCAGCCGCGGUAAUUC